UCACUGUCUGCUCACUUCUCGUAUUUUGCUGCCCUGCUCAUAUGCUCUCCUAUCAAACAGAGCUCUGCGGGUUUUCGGUAAGUGCAGUGGUCGCCAUAUGAUUCAAAAAAACUUGCUGUAGGUACCAGCCAAAACUUCGGUAUCGUCGGAACCGGAAAGCAAGAAAUCCUUCGUGUGCAAGAACGGGAAAUCCACAAAAUUUGUAGCUUCUAUACGCCAAACGCCAUCUACGACUGCUGCUGGAGCGAGUCAAAUGAACGCCAUCUGCUGUCUGCGUGCGGAGAUGGCACCAUCAGGCUAUGGGAUAUUGGCACCUCCGUCAAUCCGAGGCAAACGUGGGCUGAGCACAAAGCAGAAGUCAGCUCUCUGAGCUGGAACGUCUUGAACAAAGAUUGGUUUGUAAGCGUAGGAUGGGAUGGAACAAUUGCUCUAUGGACUCCGGAGUCGAUGUGGCCUCUUCAUCGAUGGAGAGAGCAAGAAAUAUGUUUGUAUGAUUGCGUAUGGGCACCGCAACACGCACAUCUUACCAUGACAGUCGGGAGCGAUGGUAAAAUGAAAAUAUGGGACGUGAGAAACAGACAACCAAGUCUCGUAGUCGAUGCCCAUGCAUUCGAAAUUCUAUGUUGCGAUUGGAAUAAAUAUGACCAAAACAUUGUCGCAACUGGGAGCAUUGAUAAAACCAUCAAAAUAUGGGAUACCCGUCAGCUCAAAACCCCUGUCAAUACUCUCUUUGCUCAUAACUAUGCUGUCAGAAAACUAACGUGGUCUCCGCAUUAUCGAUCGCAGUUCUUCUCCGCAUCUUAUGACAUGACAUGCAUACUAUGGGACUUGUCCAUAGAUGAACCAAUCGUUCACCGAUUCGAGCAUCACACUGAAUUCUGUGUCGGGUUGUCAUAUAACCAAUUUAUCGAAGGCAAAAUCUCAAGUUGCGGAUGGGACCGUCAUAUCUUUGUAUGGACACUCAAGCCACAAUCACUCUAUUAACACAUGUUUUUUUUGAAAAAAAACGUCACCAAGUCACCCUCUCAACCUAAAGCUAUUAUCACACGCAUAUUCGUCGCUCUCUCAAUAAAAAUUCGCGCCUCAACGUCUCCUCUUUGUGAUAUAAGGCUCCAUUCCGCCUACGCCAUCUGCAUCAACGCCUUCCACUCUGAACAUGCCAACGGCGUUUCCUGGAUCCUCCCUAUCUGCUGCAUCUCGUAUCGACACUCCAUCUGCUUCCAUUCUUUGUACCGAUCCACUACAUAUGCUUCAAACUUCUCUCUAAAACUCUUCCUUAACAACCUCUCGUGGUCGAAGUCAUUUUUGAUCCAAUACUCCACUCCCUCCCUCUCCGUCUCUUGCUUAAUCCUGUACCCCCCCCCUUCAUAAAAGCGAAAUUCUGGAUACCCUUCGUACGUUGGCUCAAGCUGCCACAAUACAUAUAGCACAAUCGACAACAGCGACAACAAUUGAAACCAUCUAGAGCGCAUUAAACCUGCGUUAUGGCUCGAUCUCCUAGGCCCCCCCCUCAUGUAGCUACUCCCCUGAAAAAACUCGAAAGGGGUUCUAGCAAACCCACCCGUUCCGUACGAAAAGCCGUAGGUAGAGUGCUGAGCAGGCGAAAAAAACAUAUUGAAUAAAUCUUCAUAUUCAAAUGGCAUCUGCGUCCCGAAAUUACCGAAUCUUGCGUCGCCAGUCCAGCCAGGCGCAAACCUGGACGAUGCCGGACGCUCAUCUACUACGCCUGUUCGGUCAUAUCGUUCUCUCAACCUCCUGUCCGUCAAAACGUGCUUAGCUGCACUCAAUUCUUCAAGAAAGAGACGGUCAGGUUCGCGCGUUGGUGAGAUGGCUAGAUUCUCUUCGUUGCAUCGAGCGUACUCUUGAAUGCAUCACCUGCUCUCGGAUGGUCAUUUCUAUCCGGGUGAACUAAUAUGCACAGCUUUUUGAUCGCCAAAUGCGUUCCCCGCUGUCAGUACGCUUCUCUUUUUUUGAGAAAAUUAUCGCCUUCCGUACCUUUUUGUACUGCUUGUUGAUGUCUUCAGUCGUUGCCUUCGACGUCACGAAUAAAACCUUGUACAAAUCCGUAAA